UACGAAGGGGGGCUAGCGUUGUUCGGAAUUACUGGGCGUAAAGCGUGCGCAGGCGGCUUCUCAAGUCAGGGGUGAAAGCCCAGAGCUCAACUCUGGAAUUGCCUUUGAGACUGAGUGGCUUGAGUACGAGAGAGGUGAGUGGAAUUCCCAGUGUAGAGGUGAAAUUCGUAGAUAUUCGGAAGAACACCAGUGGCGAAGGCGGCUCACUGGACUGGUAUUGACGCUGAGGUGCGAAAGCGUGGGGAGCAAACAGGG
rnacentral:rRNA from 1 species